GUGAGGAAUAUUGCGCAAUGGAGGCAACUCUGACGCAGCCAUGCCGCGUGCAGGAAGAAGGCGCUACGCGUUGUAAACUGCUUUUAACCGGGAAGAAACCCCAGGACGUGUCCUGGGUUGACGGUACCGGAGGAAUAAGCACCGGCUAACUUCGUGCCAGCAGCCGCGGUAAUACGAAGGGUGCAAGCGUUAUCCGGAUUCAUUGGGUUUAAAGGGUGCGUAGGCGGAGCGUUAAGUCAGUGGUGAAAUCCUGCAGCGUAACUGUAGACUUGCCAUUGAUACUGGCGCGCUUGAGUGCGAUUGAAGUGGGCGGAAUGUGCCGUGUAGCGGUGAAAUGCUUAGAUAUGGCACAGAACACCAAUUGCGAAGGCAGCUCACUAAGGCGAUACUGACGCUGAGGCACGAAAGCGUGGGGAUCGAACAGGAUUAGAAACCCCAGUAGUCC
rnacentral:rRNA from 1 species